GGAUACUGGAAAAGGGCAAAACUGUAGCUCCGGCAGAUCAUAGCAACUUCAGAGAAUAAUUCGUGGGACCACUAAAAAAGAAGGUGGUGACAGGAUUCAGAGAGACAUUUGGACUGAUUAAGAAUGCAGCAGAAGAACCCCUUGGCACGUUAGCGCUACAGGGAGAAACCUUAUGAUCCCCACAGCAUCAGGAGUGUGUGUGUGUGUGUAUGCACGUGCGCGCGUGUGUGGGUGGGUGUGUGGGUGGGUGCUACAAGCAUGUCUGUGUGCGCUACAAGCAUGUGUGUGCCACAUGAAUCUGGGGGAGAAACUGAGAUAUUACUGAAAGUGCAGUUAGCCCCCUAAGUGGGUUUUGGUGUUGAUGACAUGCAUGACUAAGGAACUAACGAAUUUAUCAACAAAUUGACAUGUUCAAAUGUUAAGAAAUAAAAAAGUGCAAGAAAGGAUCCCAAAUUUGUUUUAACAACAGUGUUGAAACAUACAGGAAAAUCUUUUAUAAUUUCUAUUUUUGAAUUUGAGUAUAGGAACAUCA
rnacentral:lncRNA from 1 species